rnacentral:rRNA from 1 species
UACGUAGGGAGCAAGCGUUGUCCGGAAUCAUUGGGCGUAAAGCGCGCGUAGGUGGCCUCAUAAGUCCGCUGUGAAAGUCAAAGGCUCAACCUUUGAAAGCCGGUGGAUACUGUCGGGCUAGAGUCCGGAAGAGGCGAGUGGAAUUCCUGGUGUAGCGGUGGAAUGCGCAGAUAUCAGGAGGAACACCGAUGGCGAAGGCAGCUCGCUGGGACGGUACUGACGCUGAGGCGCGAAAGCGUGGGGAGCGAACAGG